UNGGCAGCGUGGUUCCUGUUGGUGAGCUCU
rnacentral:piRNA from 1 species